rnacentral:rRNA from 1 species
ACGGGGUGCAGCAGGCGCGAAAACUUUACAAUGCGGGAAACCGCGAUAAGGGGACACCGAGUGCCAGCAUUUAUGUUGGCUGUCCACAUGUGUAAACGGCAUGUGUUAGCAAGGGCCGGGCAAGACCGGUGCCAGCCGCCGCGGUAACACCGGCGGCCCGAGUGGUAAUCACUUUUAUUGGGUCUAAAGGGUCCGUAGCCGGUUUGAUCAGUUCUUCGGGAAAUCUGACAGCUCAACUGUUAGGCUUCCGGGGAAUACUGUCAGACUUGGGACCGGGAGAGGUAAGAGGUACUACAGGGGUAGGAGUGAAAUCUUGUAAUCCCUGUGGGACCACCAGUGGCGAAGGCGUCUUACCAGAACGGGUCCGACGGUGAGGGACGAAAGCUGGAGGCACGAACCGGAUUAGAUACCCGGGUAGUCCUAGCUGUAAACGAUGCUCGCUAGGUGUCAGACACGGUGCGACCGUGUUUGGUGCCGCAGGAAGCCGUUAAGCGAGCCACCUGGAAGUACGUCGCAAGGC